ANAGUUUGAUGCUGGCUCAGAAUGAACGCUAGCGGGAGGCUUAAUACAUGCAAGUCGAACGGCAGCAUUUCGGAUGGCAAGUGGCGAACGGGUGAGUAACGCGUACAGAUCUGCCUUAUACUAGAGGAUAGCCCUGGGAAACUGGGAGUAAUACUCUAUGUGAUCGAAAGAUUAAAGCUACGGCGGUAUAAGAUGACUGUGCGUCUGAUUAGCUAGUUGGUGAGGUAGAGGCUCACCAAGGCGACGAUCAGUAGGGGGCGUGAGAGCGUGAUCCCCCACACGGGUACUGAGACACGGACCCGACUCCUACGGGAGGCAGCAGUAAGGAAUAUUGGGCAAUGGAGGCAACUCUGACCCAGCCAUCCCGCGUGCAGGAUGACGGCGCUACGCGUUGUAAACUGCUUUUAUUUGGGACGAAAAUUUANCAUUUAUGCUGAACUGACGGUACCUUAUGAAUAAGCACCGGCUAACUCCGUGCCAGCAGCCGCGGUAAUACGGAGGGUGCAAGCGUUAUCCGGAAUCACUGGGUUUAAAGGGUGCGUAGGCGGCAAAAUAAGUCAGAGGUGAAAGCCCGGCGCUCAACGUCGGAAUUGCCUUUGAUACUGUUAUGCUUGAAUCAGGUUGAGGUCGGCGGAAUGUGACAUGUAGCGGUGAAAUGCAUAGAUAUGUCAUAGAACACCAAUUGCGAAGGCAGCUGGCUAGAUCUGUAUUGACGCUGAGGCGCGAAAGCGUGGGGAGCGAACAGGAUUAGAUACCCUGGUAGUCCACGCCCUAAAUCACUA
rnacentral:rRNA from 1 species